AAACAAAUUUGUUUACAAAACAUAUCAUAUCUUUUGGUGACAAAUUCAUUCGUCGGCAAAAUAGCUGCUCGUGCUUUACUGUAGAUAUCUACAAUCAGCGGUCGAAUUAAAAACAGUGCAGAAGGAUGUUUUGAGUAUGUUUUAGCUUCUAGCCGCGCAAUCAAUGCUUUUUUUUUCCAAGCAAGAUGUACUUCUGUUUGGAUCCUAUCGGCGGGGAAAAAAGUACUUACGGCGACGGUGACAAGAAAUAGCGCUGAUUGCGAGAUUACCAGAUCCAGAAGAUCCGGAAGGGCUGUUACAAGUAAUUGGUUUUGCUAGAGCAAAAGGAGGUUGACAAUGAUUGCAACAGGUGAAAUAAACUGUUGGAAUCACGACUAUCGAUCACGCCAGAAGAUCCGGAAAGAGUUGUUGAAAGUAAUUGGCCACAGAAAAGUAUCCAUUUAUGAAGUCUAUCUCCAUCUCGGGGGAAAGUGUGGUAAACAAUGUCCGGGUUGUUUUUCGUUAUGCGGACCUUGUUUCCGCAUCCUUUUACUGCACAAUAAUACGGCAUCUGAAGAAAAUAAGAUAUUCACAAUAUAAUUUUGGCAUGAUAGAGAACCGCGAGAUGAACGAUUAUCUGUGGAGGAGUUGGACAACAGAUUUCUUAGACUUAUAGCACUUUAAUCACACUCACAAGCUCUUCAAAUCCUCACUGUCCCCCAAAACUAUUGAAUAAUAUGUAAUAUAAAUACCUUAUUGCAGCUCUAGUACACUAUUUUUCACGAAUAUAUAUUUGCUUAUUUCUUUCUUCAGUUGUUUUCCUCAGCGAGUUGAUAUGAAACCAUAACGACACAACCAAACAAAAAGUAAACAAUGCAGAAAGCUACGUCUCGCAACUCGUCUCACGUAUUGUCAUGAAAGUGUCAAGAACGAAACACCUAUAGUUUAGCAUCUUGGUGCGAAACUAAUAGCUUUCGGGGCGAACCAGUGCGACACUGAGUGCGAAACUGACUGAAUAAAAAAACGUUUUGACAGCAGUUAGUGCGGCACUGAGGUUGAAACUGAACAAAAACGAAUUCGCUAUUACAUUACCAGACUAUUUCUCAGGUGUUUUACCGGACAGUUCCAUUGUUGAAGAUGAUGUGCACUCCAUUAGUACCAUGGCCAACACAAGAAGAAGUUAAUCGCAAUAUGCCACACUAUUUCCGACCAUAUUAUACUGACGUUAUCGCUGUACUCGAUUGCACUGAAAUGCCAAUUAAAAAACCAAAAUGUCUCCACUGCAGGAUCAACGCAUAUUCGCAUUAUAAAGGACGUGAGACUGCGAAGUACUUGAUUGCAGUUACUCCAGGAGGAACAAUAUGCUAUAUAAGUCAUGGAUAUGGCGGGAAGGCUUCGGAUAAGCAAAUAGUUACUGCGGAAAAAUUGCUCGAAAAAUUUAAAAUUGGUGAAGCAGUGAUGACCGAUAAAGGUUUCAGCAUAGAUACUGAAUGUAAAGCCCUCGGAGUGAAGCUUGUGCGACCACCAUUUCUAACGGCUCCUCGAUAUCAGCUGAGUACAAUGGAUGCUCGUGUAAAUGUUUCUAUAGCCGCGUCAAGAGUACAUGUGGAACGAGCUAUACAACGCAUAAAAAUUUUCGAAAUAUUCAACAACAAAAUCGAUACACGUUUUCUUCCUAUAUUGGAUGAUUUAAUAUACAUUGCCUGUGGAAUUGUCAAUAUUUCGAAGCCAAUUCUGUCAAACGAACGAUUUUAGAAUUAGAAUUUUUUUUAUUAAUAAUACUUUAGAAUACAUAUAUUAAACAGACGAAUAUAGAUAUUUCAAAAAAACAUUAAAAUAAACCUCCUUCA